GCAAGACCAGUUGAAACUGGCUGCUUUGUCCCUCCUCAAUCUCUCAUCAGCCCUUGCUAUUGUUUAACCACAUGGCGUUCCAACUGUAUUUGUGAGAUCUAAGCGCUUUUCGGACAUAUUGAGCACUCAGAUCCAAACUAUCUGGGGAUAUGUUGGACAUAUAGGUUAAACAUUGUAUUAUAUGAGUUAUGUAUUUUUGUGUGGUUUUUGUAACAGUUUUUACUUAGAGAUAUU